AGAUUGAACGCUGGCGGCAUGCUUUACACAUGCAAGUCGAGCGGCAGCGCGGGGGCAACCCUGGCGGCGAGCGGCGAACGGGUGAGGAAUACAUCGGAACGUACCCCGGAGUGGGGGAUAACGCCGCGAAAGCGGCGCUAAUACCGCAUAUGCUCUGAGGAGGAAAGUGGGGGCUUCGCAAGGACCUCACGCUCUGGGCGCGGCCGAUGUCCGAUUAGCUAGUUGGUGAGGUAAUGGCUCACCAAGGCGACGAUCGGUAGCUGGUCUGAGAGGAUGAUCAGCCACACUGGGACUGAGACACGGCCCAGACUCCUACGGGAGGCAGCAGUGGGGAAUAUUGGUCAAUGGGCGCAAGCCUGAACCAGCCAUGCCGCGUGAGUGAAGAAGGCCUUAGGGUUGUAAAGCUCUUUUGCCCGGGAAGAUAAUGACUGUACCGGGAGAAUAAGCCCCGGCUAACUUCGUGCCAGCAGCCGC
rnacentral:rRNA from 1 species